GUCCGGCAAGAUGUCGGCUUGCAACUUGCAGGCUGCGUGAAUCGGGAUCAGCUCUCCUUUGACCACGGAUGUACUGGCACUGUCGAGAGUAUGAGACUGAGAGAGGUCAGGCAUUUGCCUGGCCUUUUUUAUU
rnacentral:sRNA from 1 species